CCUACGGGAGGCAGCAGUGGGGAAUAUUGCACAAUGGGGGAAACCCUGAUGCAGCGACGCCGCGUGAGUGAAGAAGUAUUUCGGUAUGUAAAGCUCUAUCAGCAGGGAAGAAAAUGAAGGUAACUUACUAAGAAGCCCCGGCUAACUACGUGCCAGCAGCCGCGGUAAUACGUAGGGGGCAAGCGUUAUCCGGAUUUACUGGGUGUAAAGGGGGCGUAGACGGCGGAACAAGUCUGAAGUGAAAACCCGGGGCUUAACCCUGGGAGUGCUUUUGAAACUGUUUGGCUGGAGUGCAGGAGAGGUAAGCGGAAUUCCUAGUGUAGCGGUGAAAUGCGUAGAUAUUAGGAGGAACACCAGUGGCGAAGGCGGCUUACUGGACUGUAACUGACGUUGAGGCUCGAAAGCGUGGGGAGCAAACAGGAUUAGAUACCCUUGUAGUC
rnacentral:rRNA from 1 species